rnacentral:ncRNA from 2 species
UUAUUAUCAAGAGUGGACGAGAGAAACGGCUUAUAGACUCCACAGCAACCUGCAAAAGCAAGGUGCUAAUACCGUCAAAGUGUAUAACUUUGAGUGAUGAUAG